AUGGAUUUGAGGCUGAUUUUGGUUUCCCUUGUUGCUCUUUUAAAAGGGGUCCAGUAUGAGGUGAAGCUGGUGGAGUCUGGGGGUAGCUUGGUGCAGCCUGGAAAGUCCCUAAAACUCUCCUGUGCAGGCUCUGGAUACAUCUUCAGUGACUACUGGAUGAACUGGGUCCACCAGGCUCCAGGGAAGGGGCUGGAGUGGGUUGGAGUUAUUAACUAUGAUGGCAGUACCAAAACAUAUGCAUCAUCCAUGAAGGGCCAAUUCACCAUCUCCAGAGACAAUGUCAAGAACACUCUGUACCUGCAAAUGAACAGUGUGAAGGCUGAAGACACAGCCACUUAG